rnacentral:tRNA from 1 species
GGCCGGAUAGCUCAGUGGUUUGAGCGUGGUGCUGACAACAAUGACCAAUACCGAGGUCGCGAGUUCAAUUCACGCUCGGCCCC